GUUUUGGUUACCUGUCGACCCAAUGGGUACUUGGGAAGAGAAGAAGCGAACUGAUGAAGACAUCUCAAAACCAGGAAGUAAUUUGAAUGGUAAACAUAGUAACUGCAUCUACAAAUAAUGGGUGAAACAGAACUGAAUUUACUCAGAUAAGGAGAAAAAAGAAGUAACACUUCGUGGGCAAUGUUACAUUCCAGGAACUAUGCCUUGGCAUAGGAAACUAUUUCAUCUGAUGCUCAACUGAGGAAAUGGGAGUUCUGGUUUCAACAUUGGAAAUAAAACCGACUAUAUUGGACUUCAUGAGAGGCGAUGUGUUAUACCCUUCUAAGGGAUUUUCAAGAGUUAUUUUCACCAUCCCACACUUUUGUCUUAUGCGCUGACUUUGGAAAGAGAUUUCACUGUUGUUUAUAUCUGGUUCUUCUCAGCUGCAGCAGAAAACAUCACAAAUGAUUAACUUUCUUCAUGUAACCUAUUCUCUAAAUUCUUUCUUACUGAGAUACGUAUCUGCCAAUGCCCCUCUACCACCUAUCCAGAUCAAUAAUUCUUGAUACACUUUAUGAAUACGUUUAUAGGUUUUGACGCAGAGAAAAUUCUCUACUUGAUACAUUACUACAGAUCACAUUCUGCAUAUGUAAAAACAAAACCUUUUGAAAUAGUAAUUCUAUUUUCCAUUUGUUAAAUUUUUCUUCUGGCAUCAUUGCUAUACACUGGUCAUAGCUGCCACUGUUUCAUUUCAUAAUUGUGUUUAAGAUGAUUCUUCUCAACAGAGCUAUAUUUUGCCUAGUAAUAUUAUUUCCCAAAGAGAUACGCUUUCUUGUAUUCUUGAAACAUGAAGACCUUGUGAUCUUUCCUAAUCUUUGAUAAAGAGACACAAACAGAAAGAGAUUUCUCUAUCAAAUACUCAAAUACCCAUUGCUUCUCCUCAAACAUCCACACACACUCCAACCUUAGGUCCUUUCCACUUGCCAUCUCUCUCUUUGGAAUUUCCUUCCUCCAGAUUUCUGCAUGGCAAGCUCUGUAACUUCCUUUACUCUUUAUUCAAAAUCCACCUGCUUAUUAGUAAGGUCCUUCUUUAAAAUGUCAAUCCAACUCCCCAUGUACACUAAACUUCAUAUUCCUUCUAUCUCCUUCAUUGUUUUCUCCUUAGCAAUGAUCACUAACACAUAUUUUAUCCAUCUAUCUCGAUAGCAUGUAAGCUCCAUGAAGGUAGAGGUUUUUGUCACUUUUGUUCAUUCCUUAUUUAUUCAUGAGAGACAGAGAGAGAGAGGCAGAGACCCAGGCAGAGGGAGAAGCAGGCUUCAUGCAGGGAGCCCGACGUGGGACUCGAUCCCAGGUUCCUGUAUUCUCAGCACCUAGAUUAACACCUGGCACACAGAAAACACUCAAAAACUUUGUUGAGUGAGGAAGUGCAUUAAUGAAUGGAGGACAACCCUCAGUCUCCCUUCUAAAUAAGAGCAAUCACUUGUCAUCUUGCUGGAUGUGGGUCAGAUUUACUAAUUUUUCAACAAAAGAUGAAAGUUUGAAUUUGUAAUGUAAAAUGUCUCAAUUAGUAAACAUUGGCUUGGGUUUUUAAAAAAACACCAUGGACCUAAAAAAACCCCACAUUAACAUCAGGCUGUGAGUUGCCAGUCAAUGUAUUUCUAUACGUUUUACAUAUAUAUAUAUAAAACAAUGUAUUACUAAACAACCUUUUAAAUCAACCCUCUCCAAACACAUCAAUCCUGUCUGCCAUUCAAUCAAAAUCAUUCAUGUAUUAUUGUUUACUAAUAUGACAAAGCCUCUAUUGUUACUGAGCUGGUUAUGUUUUUUUGGAGAGGAAAUCAACGGCUAUGUAAACUUAAAUAUAAAUAGGUUAAGAAAAUAUGAUCAGAUAAAAUUAUAUUUGCCAUGAUGCUUAGUUUUUGCAAUCCUCUUCUAAUUUCCAUAGUCUUUAUCACUUCUGUGUCCAGGUUUUAGUUAUAGGGUGAAGAAUGACCCCAAGAAGACUUAAAGAAAGUAUGUAAAAAUGGCUGCAAAUUUUUAUUUGUUCCUUUCAAUCAAUUCAACUGCUGGCAAAAUAGAUACUGGAUUUUAGGAAUAAGACGUAUCAGCUGGCCAAGAACACAGCAUUUUCUCAGUUAUCAUCUUGCUAGAACUAAGCAUUUUUUUCAUUAGAGAAAUUUUGGCUGACAGUGUUUGAUUCUCAGUCUCAUCAUGUGACAGCUACCCAAUAGAGUGCCAAACCACAACUGUCUCCCAGCUUUGGUGUGGCACGAGUGCUUGUCCUCUCAUCUGUCUCAACCCUUUGUUCCCCCUGUUCAGUAGCACUUGAUGAAGGGUUUGGAUUUGAGCUGCCACUUCCCACCACACUACUGGGCUAAUGUCUCACUCAUCUGAUUAUAUGAAGUAAUUUGUUUUGCAGUCAUUUUCUUCCUUCUCAUUUACUUUUAUUAUUUUUUUCUAAUGGAUUUUUCCCUCCUCCUGCUCUUAGAUCAAAAGAAGCAGAAUGAAGAGGUAGAGGCAAAAGUGAAAAGCAGGUUUCUACCAAACUCGUGAUCUAAUUGUGCCUUUUGAUCAUGAAUCACCAUGAAAAACUUACUAAAUGGUGAAAAGAAUUCCUUGCUCUACCUCUAACUUGCUCUGUGACCUUAGAGAUAGUUUACUUCCUCUCUUGGCUGCAGUUCUUCACUUGUAAAAUAAGUAUACUGAAUAAGGUUAUCAUUCUAAUAGGUAUAUAUUACAAUUCUAAGAAGUCCAAGACUUGCUUCCUACCUCAACUGAUUUAAAAUCUAGCUGGGUACAUAGGGAAUAGAGACAUAAAAUAUUAAUAAGUCAGAAUAAUAAAGCUUCAACUGUCACUGACAAGGGAUUGAAUCUAAGUUUUCUACAUAGCAUAAAGUUGAACUCUUUAAGGGUUGAAGUCAAGCCAAAUAGCUUUAAGGAAAAUUUGAAUAAAAAUAUACUUGAUUUUAUGUGAAAUACAUGGAAUUAGUCAUUUAUUAAAUAUACUGAGCAUAAUGUAACUUUUUGACAGAACAGGAUUAACAUCAAUAGCAAAUCAUUACUAGUAAUAUAGAGGGUGUGGUUGGUGUUCACAGCACAGGAUUAAAAUGGAUCUAUUCCUAGCUAUGGUGUGAAGACUUGCUUUUUAAAAAAAGUCUUUUGAAAAUAAAGAGUAUAUGUGUGUG